rnacentral:misc_RNA from 1 species
CAAAUUACGAUGUUUGCCUAUAAUGUGAGCAAAUAUAUCAUGGCUUCUCAGUUUGAAGUUUAUUAUCUAUGUAUAAAAGAAGUUUGGAAAUUUUGAAUUCACAUGGUCCACACCAUUGGGUAAUCUCAUUGUUAAUGUUGGAACUCACUUGGUAAUUUAAAGUAAUCAAGCAUCCUUGCAUGUUAUAACCUGUUGUACAUGGUAAUAUUCUAACUGGGUGGUUUUAGAUGUUUGUGAAUUUGGAUUGACGUGCUGCAUUUUAUGGACUCUAGUGUUAAUGUUCUUUUACUUGGUUAAUGUCAUUUUGGUGUUCCUUAUCUGACGUUUACAAAGCCAAUAUGGCAAUCAACACUGUGGUGUGCCUUUUUUUUCCCCCCAUCUUCUUGAUAAUGGGCAUCAAAUGAACUUUUAGUCAUUCUAUUGAAUUUUCGUUUGAUUACAUUCAAUAAUUACAUCCUACCAAAUAUGCAUUUAUUGUUCUGUUGUGAUAAUGGCUUAUUGCCUAUUAGGAGUCUAGUUUGCUACUCCUAUCUAUAAAUAAUUGGUCUCUAUCCGUUAUCUUCCUUAAAAUAUGAUUUAUAUGUUUUACAUUAGUUACUUGAAUUGCAAGUAGCAUAAUUGUUGAGGGCCUUGAGAUAUCGUUUAUGGCCUGAUGAAAUAAUGGUGCUAAUGCUAUUAGGACUAAACUUCAUUUGUUUGUAUAAUUAGGAAAAAGUAAACCAACUCAUAUAUGCUUAAACCAACUCAUAUAUGCUUAUUUUUAUGUGAAAUAUUUAGUGCAUCUAAGCAGUCUAUGCACAAUGUCUAGUGGAAUUGAACUUCUUGUUGUCAGAAAUCUUAAUAUUCUUGUCAUUCACCUCAACCACUUGUAAUAAACUUGCUGCUUAAAAUCCACUUGUAUUGGAGAUUGACUUGUUUUAUAGAUCUCCCUGCUGGUGUCUUUGUUAUGGGCCUAUGGAAGAAAGAAGCUGUUUGGUGAGCCAGUCUCUGCUGAAUGAGGCGCUUUUUUUUUUUUUUGG